CGCGCGAGAGAGAUAGCGAGCUGGGAGUUCCUAGACCCGGACGCCACCGCGACGCAAGAAGGAAACCCGACCAGAGGGACGCCUUCCGGCCACCCCACGACGGCGCGCGGCCACCAACAGCUUUGUAUUGUCAUCGCCGUCACGCCUGUAGCCUUUGAUUGCCCAUGCACUGGACGAGGAGGGAGACUCGACGGUGAGAAGCAGCAACUGCUCCGACGAGUUUCUGCAAUUUCCAGCCAACGCUUGGGCCGCAUUCG
rnacentral:lncRNA from 1 species